rnacentral:rRNA from 1 species
CCUACGUGAGGCAGCAGUAGGGAAUCUUCCACAAUGGGCGAAAGCCUGAUGGAGCAACGCCGCGUAGGUGAAGAAGGUCUUCGGAUCGUAAAACCCUGUUGUUAGAGAAGAAAGUGCGUGAGAGUAACUGUUCACGUUUCGACGGUAUCUAACCAGAAAGCCACGGCUAACUACGUGCCAGCAGCCGCGGUAAUACGUAGGUGGCAAGCGUUAUCCGGAUUUAUUGGGCGUAAAGGGAACGCAGGCGGUCUUUUAAGUCUGAUGUGAAAGCCUUCGGCUUAACCGGAGUAGUGCAUUGGAAACUGGGAGACUUGAGUGCAGAAGAGGAGAGUGGAACUCCAUGUGUAGCGGUGAAAUGCGUAGAUAUAUGGAAGAACACCAGUGGCGAAAGCGGCUCUCUGGUCUGUAACUGACGCUGAGGUUCGAAAGCGUGGGUAGCAAACAGGAUUAGAUACCCUAGUAGUC